rnacentral:rRNA from 1 species
AACGAACGCUGGCGGCAGGCCUAACACAUGCAAGUCGAACGCCGUAGCAAUACGGAGUGGCAGACGGGUGAGUAACACGUGGGAACGUACCCUUCGGUUCGGGAUAACUCAGGGAAACUUGAGCUAAUACCGGAUACGUCCGAGAGGAGAAAGAUUUAUUGCCGAGGGAUCGGCCCGCGUCUGAUUAGCUUGUUGGUGAGGUAACGGCUCACCGAAGGCGACGAUCAGUAGCUGGCUGAGAGGAUGAUCAGCCACAUUGGGACUGAGACACGGCCCAAACUCCUACGGGAGGCAGCAGGUGGGGAAUAUUGGACAAGUGGGCGCAAGCCUGAUCCAGCCAUGCCGCGUGAGUGAUGAA